AAUGUGAUUGUGGAAAUAAUGGAACAUGCGCUUUAGACGUUUUCGGAGAAAAGGAGUGUUCCUGCAAUGAAGGUUUUGCACAAUUUAGUGGAGGGUGCGAAGAAUGCAGUUGUGGACGCGGUGGAAAUUGCUCUUUCGACAGAUAUGGACGAAAGAUGUGUGCAUGCCAUACAGGUUUUAGAGAUCUGAAUGGAAACUGCCAAAGAAUACUCUUAGGUGAAAGCAAAGGAAGCACAUUUUCUGCACUUAUUGGAAGUUUUUUUGCUUUUCUCAUAAUAGCAUUCUCUGGUUUGUUUUAUUCCCGUUGGAGGAAGCAAAAAACGGGUCUUGCUUUUCGUUUCAAGAAAUUGAAGGAAUCAGUCGGUGAAGAAUAUGAACAAAGAGUGUAUUUAAAAUGAAAUUUCUACAUUGCGAGUGGCAUAUUUAACUCACAUAUUGGAACAGGGAAAAUUCAUCUGAAGUGCCGAAGUCUGAACAGUGAUUGAAAUUAAUCUGAAAAGUUGCUGAAUACAUGUGAACAGUUACUGAAGUGAUCUCUCUUCCAAUUAAUGAAACCUCGGUUCAUGGACUUAAUUAUUUCCUGAAUACUUUUCAUUCAUCAUGCUAAAUACCCUCAAACCAAAAUUAUUUUCUCCAUAGGAAUUAAUGUAAAAUCCGUUUCUGGACCACAAAAAUGAACGCUUAUCUAUACUUUAUAACAUUACUUUGUGCAGAAAAUCUUAUGUGCAGAAAAUCUUAAUGCAAAACCAGUACAAAUCAACUAUUCUAAAAGAAUAAAAAAAAGGUAAACACAAUAUUAAGCAGACAAAAUAAACAUGUACUUAGUUCGA